AACGAACGCUGGCGGCGCGCUUAACACAUGCAAGUCGAACGAGAAGGCGUAGCAAUACGCUUGUACAGUGGCGAACGGGUGAGUAAUACGUGGGCGACCUACCCUCGAGUGGGGAAUAACCCGCCGAAAGGCGGGCUAAUGCCGCGUACGCUUCCAUCUUUAUGGAGGUGGAAGGAAAGCCGUGCCGUGGGCACGGCGCUCAAGGAUGGGCUCACGUCCUAUCAGCUUGUUGGAGGGUAAUGGCCUACCAAGGCUCCGACGGGUAGCUGGUCUGAGAGGACGAUCAGCCACACUGGCACUGCGACACGGGCCAGACUCCUACGGGGAGGCAGCAGUGAGGAAUAUUGCGCAAUGGGCGAAAGCCUGACGCAGCGACGCCGCGUGGGGGAUGAAGGUCUUCGGAUUGUAAACCCCUUUCGGGAGGGAAGAUGGGACGGGCAACCGUUCGGACGGUACCUCCAGAAGCAGCCACGGCUAACUUCGUGCCAGCAGCCG
rnacentral:rRNA from 1 species